rnacentral:rRNA from 1 species
AUUGAACGCUGGCGGCAGGCCUAACACAUGCAAGUCGAACGGUAACAGGAAGAAGCUUGCUUCUUUGCUGACGAGUGGCGGACGGGUGAGUAAUGUCUGGGAAACUGCCUGAUGGAGGGGGAUAACUACUGGAAACGGUAGCUAAUACCGCAUAACGUCGCAAGACCAAAGAGGGGGACCUUCGGGCCUCUUGCCAUCGGAUGUGCCCAGAUGGGAUUAGCUUGUUGGUGGGGUAACGGCUCACCAAGGCGACGAUCCCUAGCUGGUCUGAGAGGAUGACCAGCAACACUGGAACAGAGCCACGGCCAAGACUCCGAGGGGAGGCAGAGGGGGGAAUUUUUGCACAAGGGGCGAAAGCUGGAUGCACCCUUCCGGCGUGAAUAAAGAAGGCUUUGGGUUUAAAAAUUCUUUCCGGCGGGGAGGAAGGAAAAAAAGUAAAUCCUUUUGCCCUUUGACUUCCCCCGAAAAAGAACCCCGGCCAACCCCCGGC